GUCCAUUUCGCCUCUCUUGGCCUCGGCUUCUAUUCUCAUUUUUUCUAGUUCUCUCAUUGUAUCCAUUCUUGCUUGUUCUGAUCUUACCACUACUUCUGCUAGCCACCUGAUGCUAUCUGCUAUCUCCCAUUCUUCCCUUCUUCUUUUCUUCUUUCUGUCCAUUUUCAUCUUCAGUUUUUUGGACCUCAAUUUCUCCUUUUCGCUAUACAAAGCUGGAGUGCUACUAUCUGUUUCCAUGGCAUUCUUAUCUGAGACAUGGUCUGAUAAUUUUGUACCAACACCAUCUUCCUUGGCCCCCCUCUCAACACCAUUGGACCCAUGUGAGUUUUGUGCAGUCCCAAUAGCUAGAGGUGGAGGAGGAGGCGGAGGAGCCAGAGGCUGUGGAGGUGGCUGUGGCAACACAUGGGAUGUCUCCAACAACAUCAAAGGAGGAGAAU
rnacentral:misc_RNA from 1 species